rnacentral:rRNA from 1 species
UAGGGAAUUUUGCGCAAUGGGCGAAAGCCUGACGCAGCAACGCCGCGUGAGUGAUGAAGGCCUUCGGGUUGUAAAGCUCUGUUGGACGGGAAGAAAAGGCGUAUGAAGAAUACGUUAUGACGGUACCGUUCGAGGAAGCUCCGGCUAACUACGUGCCAGCAGCCGCGGUAAUACGUAGGGAGCGAGCGUUGUUCGGAAUUACUGGGCGUAAAGGGAGCGUAGGCGGGUUUGUAAGUUAGGUGUUUAAUACAUGGGCUUAACCCAUGUCAGGCACUUAAUACUGCAAGUCUUGAGUGCGGGAUAGGGCGAUGGAAUUCCAGGUGUAGCGGUGGAAUGCGUAGAUAUCUGGAAGAACACCGACAGCGAAGGCAGUCGCCUGGCCCGAAACUGACGCUGAAGCUCGAAAGUCGGGGGAGCAAACAGGAUUAGAUACCCUGGUAGUCCCGACCGUAAACGAUGAACACUAGCUGCCGGGA